rfam:Lentisphaera araneosa HTCC2155 1101329224546, whole genome shotgun sequence.
CCCAAGGCUCACGCCUUGGGCUUUAUUAUUUCAUGCCUUCAGCAUU